UACGAAGGGGGCUAGCGUUGUUCGGAAUUACUGGGCGUAAAGCGCGUGUAGGCGGCCCUGCAAGUCGGGUGUGAAAUCCCACGGCUCAACCGUGGAAGUGCAUCGAAACUGCAGGGCUAGAGUCCUGGAGAGGAAGGUGGAAUGCUUGGUGUAGAGGUGAAAUUCGUAGAUAUCAAGCGGAACACCGGUGGCGAAGGCGGUUCUCUGGGCCUUACCUGACGCUGAGGAGCGAAAGCGUGGGGAGCAACGGG
rnacentral:rRNA from 1 species